rnacentral:rRNA from 1 species
CCUACGGGAGGCAGCAGUGAGGAAUAUUGGUCAAUGGUCGGGAGACUGAACCAGCCAAGCCGCGUGAGGGAGGAAGGUACAGAGUAUCGUAAACCUCUUUUGUCAGGGAACAAAGGCGGGGACGUGUCCCCGGAUGAGUGUACCUGAAGAAAAAGCAUCGGCUAACUCCGUGCCAGCAGCCGGGGUAAUACGGAGGAUGCGAGCGUUAUCCGGAUUGUUUGGGUUUAAAGGGUGCGCAGGCGGUCUGUUAAGUCAGCGGUAAAAGCCCGGGGCACAACCCCGGCCCGCCGUUGAAACUGGCAGUCUCGAGUUGGAGAGAAGGAUGCGGAAUGCGUGGUGUAGCGGUGAAAUGCAUAGAUAUCACGCAGAACUCCGAUUGCGAAGGCAGCAUACCGGCGCGCAACUGACGCUCAUGCACGAAAGCGUGGGUAUCGAACAGUAUUAGAUACCCCAGUAGUC